rnacentral:rRNA from 1 species
GACGAACGCUGGCGGCGUGCUUAACACAUGCAAGUCGAACGGAAAGGCCCUGCUUGCAGGGUACUCGAGUGGCGAACGGGUGAUUAACACGUGGGUGAUCUGCCCUGCACUUCGGGAUAAGCCUGGGAAACUGGGUCUAAUACCGGAUAGGAGCCAUUUUUAGUGUGAUGGUUGGAAAGUUUUUUCGGUGUAGGAUGAGCUCGCGGCCUAUCAGCUUGUUGGUGGGGUAAUGGCCUACCAAGGCGGCGACGGGUAGCCGGCCUGAGAGGGUGGACGGCCACAGUGGGACUGAGAUACGGCCCAGACUCCUACGGGAGGCAGCAGUGGGGAAGAUUGCACAAUGGGCGCAAGCCUGAUGCAGCGACGCCGCGUGGGGGAUGACGGCCUUCGGGUUGUAAACUCCUUUCGCUAGGGACGAAGCUUUUUGUGACGGUACCUAGAGAAGAAGCACCGGCUAACUACGUG